GCACAACGCGAAGAACCUUACCAAGGCUUAAAUGCAGACUGACCGGUUUGGAAACAGACCUUUCGCAAGACGGUCUACAAGGUGCUGCAUGGUUGUCGUCAGCUCGUGCCGUGAGGUGUUGGGUUAAGUCCCCGCAACGAGCGCAACCCCUAUGUUUAGUUGCCAGCACGUAACGGUGGGGACUCUAAACAGACUGCCUGUGCAAACAGAGAGGAAGGAGGGGACGACGUCAAGUCAUCAUGGCCCUUACGUCCGGGGCUACACACGUGCUACAAUGUCCAGUACAAUAUGAACCGAUACCGCGAGGUGGAGGAAAUCUCAAAAACUGGGCUCAGUUCGGAUUGUAGGCUGCAACUCGCCUACAUGAAGUUGGGAUCGCUAGUAAUGGUGCAUCAGCUACGGCACCGUGAAUACGUUCCCGGGUCUUGUACACACCG
rnacentral:rRNA from 1 species